GCCUCCAUGGCUCAGUGGUAGAGCGGCGGUUUUGUAAACCGCAGGUCGUGGGUUCGAACCCCACUGGAGGCU
rnacentral:tRNA from 1 species